rnacentral:rRNA from 1 species
UAUGUUAGCUUGCUAAUAUAUUUAGUAGCAAAUGGGUGAGUAACACGUACCUAACCUACCUUUUGGACCGGGAUAACUAUUGGAAACAGCAGCUAAUACCGGAUAAAAUAAAAAAAUGCAUGUUUUUUUAUUAAAAGGAGCCUUUAAAGCUCCACCAAAAAAUGGGGGUGCGCAACAUUAGUUAGUUGGUAGGGUAAAGGCCUACCAAGACGAUGAUGUUUAGCGGGGCCAAGAGGCUGUACCGCCACACUGGGAUUGAGAUACGGCCCAGACUCCUACGGGAGGCAGCAGUAAGGAAUAUUCCACAAUGAGCGAAAGCUUGAUGGAGCAACACAGAGUGCAG